rnacentral:tRNA from 1 species
GGCUUUAUAGUCAUAUUAGUAUGAUAUUAGAUUGCAAAUCUAAAGGAGUAUAAUUUACUAAGGCUU